rnacentral:rRNA from 1 species
UACGGAGGGUGCGAGCGUUGUCCGGAAUCACUGGGCGUAAAGGGCGCGUAGGCGGCCUGAUAAGUAGGGGGUGAAAUCCUGCGGCUUAACCGCAGGGCUGCCUUCUAAACUGUCAGGCUAGAGCACAGUAGAGGCAGGUGGAAUUCCCGGUGUAGCGGUGGAAUGCGUAGAGAUCGGGAGGAACACCUGUGGCGAAGGCGGCCCCCUGGGCCGCACCUGACGCUGAGACGCGAAGGCGUGGGGAGCGAACGGG